CGUCGCGCCAGGAAUGCUCAAUACGAGCGCGAGAGACGCGAGGGGGCUACCAAAGCAAUGCUGGCCCUCGCGCGGGCUGACGGCUGCCAAGAUUCGAUUUCACAGGCCGAACUGAUUCCGUGUGUUUUUAAGCAUACGACGUGAGCAGGAGUUGAUGACUUGCUCCGUAGGAACCAGCAGCUGACGUCAGAAUUUGAAACACUCAAGCGGCAGCUGGCUGAGCGUCCGGCAGAGGUGACUGCGCUAGUCCGUGCAACUGAGGCAGCUGGGGACUCGUGGCUACCCUGGUCCCCGAUAUCUGCCGAGCGCUCACCGCCAGAAAUGAUCGUGGCCCAACCUGUUGUCCCAAUGGUCC